ensembl:lncRNA
CACUCCUCCUGAGUGGAGGACCCCCUCCCAGGCAUUGGAGGCAGCCCUCUGCGUAGGACAUGAUCCUAGUUCAUCAGCCAGAGGUGGCAGCGGGGGACUCGAGUCCUGGAGGAAGCCCUGGGAUCCUGGGGCCCCUGCUGUCCCUGCCCCCAGCCUGCUCCUCGGAGGGGCCCCAGGCGGACCCCCGCCCAGGCCUCUCCAGCCCCGUCUCCUCGUUUGUCUUUGGCAGACGAUCACUGAUACCCUUCUCCCCGGGUCAGAUCGCAGCGAGGGAGCUCCAAACCUCGACCCAGAAGCAGGUCGUCGUCUGUGAAUGGUUCAGCACCAGGUUCCGCACGAACGUGCGGUGCGGGACCUUCGAGGGGGCAGCCGCCUUUCCCUGCAGCACCUCGUGUCUCGGGAGGAAGAACUUUGAGCACCGGCCUGUUCCCGCGGGCGGCAGGGUGCGCCACGCACGCCAGGCCAUGCCCAGAGGGCAUUCUCCUUUUGAUGGCCCAUUCUUCUUUUGAUGGAAUUUUGUUUUAUUGAUUUUUUUCCCCUAUGUGUUUUAUUUUAAAUGAAACUGCUAUUAGCUUCCUGUAAAAAAAAAAAAAAAAAAUCUCAAUCUGGCUAAGGAAGCACUUCCUGUGUUAAUAAUAACUACUAACAUA